GCAUGCAAGUCGAACGAUAAUCCUUCGGGAUUAGAGUGGCGGACGGGUGAGUAACGCGUAGGAAUCUACCCUUUGGUGGAGAAUAACUUAGGGAAACUUAAGCUAAUACUGCAUAGUUCUCUUCGGAGUAAAGGUCAUAACUGAUCGCCAAGGGAGGAGCCUGCGUCCUAUCAGCUUGUUGGUGAGGUAAAAGCUCACCAAGGCGAUGACGGGUAGGGGGUGUGAGAGCACGGCCCCCCACAAGGUCACUGAUACACGGGGCCUACACCUACGGGUGGCAGCAACUGGGAAUCUUGCGCAAUGGGCGAAAGCCUGACGCAGCGACGCCGCGUGCGGGAAGAAGGUCUUCGGAUUGUAAACCGCUGUGGAGAGGGAAGAUAAUGACGGUACCUUUCUAGAAAGCACCUGCUAACUACGUGCCAGAAGCCUCGGUGAUACGUAGGGUGCAAGCAUUAUCCGGAUUUAUUGGGCGUAAAGAGUAUCGUAGGCGGUUUUGUAAGUGAUUGGUGAAAUCCUUGGGCUCAACCCAAGAAUUGCCAGUCAUACUGUAAGACUAGAGUGAUUUCGGAAAGGCUGGAAUUCUCGGUGUAGGGGUGAAAUCCGUUGAUAUCGAGAGGAACACCAAGGGCGAAGGCAGGCCUUUAGGAAUCUACUGACGCUGAUGAA
rnacentral:rRNA from 1 species